GGAUGGUAGCCAUGCAAAGGAAGGUGUGCAUGUCAAUUUUGAGAAGGAGCGUCCCUGACUUCUCGCAAUCUUUUCUGGAGUUUGUAAUCGUCAAUUGUUGCAGAAUAUUGUAUGUUCAUAUACUUCUAAAUGUUGUUAUUUAACAUAUAAUCUUUCUAGGUUUAUAUGUGCACGUAUAUUGCUUAUUGUUUUUCUCUUUUGCCACUGUUUUUAAGAAAAAAAUUGAAUAGGUUAUGCACUUCAAGUUGAAGUACUUGGACCAGCUUUCCAAAAACAUAGUAGUUAUCACGAUUGGAAGGCAAAAAAGACUGAAACUGAAACAGCAAUUGAGAUAGCCGAGGACAUGGACUGUAGUAACCUGUUGAUGGCCGCCUCUGGUUCUGAGCAUCUUCUAGAAGCAGUGGUGCCGUGGAGGAAGCUAAAAGGGAGAAAUUGUAUUGUGAAUCAGUGAAGUCCCUCUUAACAGCUGAAGAAAUGCCAAAGCCAACCUGCGAUAAUGAGUCAUUGCACUGCUUGAUCUCUGAGGCAUGUGGUCUGAGCUCUUCAAAAGGAUUUUCAUCAUGAAGCCAUAGU
rnacentral:lncRNA from 1 species